GGAAGCAGGGCAUCCCGCUUAAGGCGGGAGGGUCACAGGUUCGAAUCCUGUUGCUCCCA
rnacentral:tRNA from 1 species